GUCGAGCGGACAGAAGGGAGCUUGCUCCCGGAUGUUAGCGGCGGACGGGUGAGUAACACGUGGGUAACCUGCCUGUAAGACUGGGAUAACUCCGGGAAACCGGAGCUAAUACCGGAUAGUUCCUUGAACCGCAUGGUUCAAGGAUGAAAGACGGUUUCGGCUGUCACUUACAGAUGGACCCGCGGCGCAUUAGCUAGUUGGUGGGGUAAUGGCUCACCAAGGCGACGAUGCGUAGCCGACCUGAGAGGGUGAUCGGCCACACUGGGACUGAGACACGGCCCAGACUCCUACGGGAGGCAGCAGUAGGGAAUCUUCCGCAAUGGACGAAAGUCUGACGGAGCAACGCCGCGUGAGUGAUGAAGGUUUUCGGAUCGUAAAGCUCUGUUGUUAGGGAAGAACAAGUGCGAGAGUAACUGCUCGCACCUUGACGGUACCUAACCAGAAAGCCACGGCUAACUACGUGCCAGCAGCCGCGGUAAUACGUAGGUGGCAAGCGUUGUCCGGAAUUAUUGGGCGUAAAGGGCUCGCAGGCGGUUUCUUAAGUCUGAUGUGAAAGCCCCCGGCUCAACCGGGGAGGGUCAUUGGAAACUGGGAAACUUGAGUGCAGAAGAGGAGAGUGGAAUUCCACGUGUAGCGGUGAAAUGCGUAGAGAUGUGGAGGAACACCAGUGGCGAAGGCGACUCUCUGGUCUGUAACUGACGCUGAGGAGCGAAAGCGUGGGGAGCGAACAGGAUUAGAUACC
rnacentral:rRNA from 1 species